rnacentral:rRNA from 1 species
AGAUUGAACGCUGGCGGCAUGCCUUACACAUGCAAGUCGAACGGCAGCACGGGAGCAAUCCUGGUGGCGAGUGGCGAACGGGUGAGUAAUAUAUCGGAACGUGCCCAGUCGUGGGGGAUAACGCAGCGAAAGCUGUGCUAAUACCGCAUACGAUCUAUGGAUGAAAGCGGGGGAUCGCAAGACCUCGCGCGAUUGGAGCGGCCGAUAUCAGAUUAGGUAGUUGGUGGGGUAAAGGCCACCAAGCCGACGAUCUGUAGCUGGUCUGAGAGGACGACCAGCCACACUGGAACUGAGACACGGUCCAGACUCCUACGGGAGGCAGCAGUGGGGAAUUUUGGACAAUGGGCGCAAGCCUGAUCCAGCAAUGCCGCGUGCAGGA